UUCUACAUUUUAGGGGGAUCCUAAUUAUGAUAUGAUCUCUCUGGCUAAUUCCAAAGUAUCAGAACUCUGACUACAGCAUUUUUAUGCUGUUAGUCAGGAGUUACAGUACAGUAGAUCAACCUGCGAAGAUGCUCGUGUUAGUAAUAUUCCUUUUAUGAGUUCAAGAGAUUUCUUUUAAAUGUGAGGUAACGGAGACAUCCUGUUUAGAGAACCCAGGGACUUCUCACAGUGGAACCGGAAGCCAUAUAGAGUUCCAAAUUCUUAAAUUCUAAGAUCUUGGGGCCUAAAUACAAAAGUAUGUAAACAGGUAAACAAAAACAAACAAGGCAGUGAUGCAAGAUGCAUGUGUUGUGGAAAUGAGGCAUUCGCGUGUAGCACAGCAUCCGGUUACAAUCACGGGAAACCUGAGCUGCUUUAAGGCAUCUUUUUCCUGCAGCCACUACCUGGUGAAACUCCAUCUGCAGGUUUAAUAUUUAAACACGGUUAAGAGUUUGGUUCCCUAGAGACAUGAGUAUCAAUGCAUUCUCCUCCUCCUGGGCCACAUAGCACCACUAAAAAGGCUUCAUCACGACUGGUCUCAUCAGUUUAAAUAAUCUCAAUCUUCUUUUGUUCGUAUCUUUGUUCCUUUUAAAAACUGAGAGUGUUUUCUAAAUAUUCCGCCUUAGAAAUUAUCAGCGUCCUCCUUUGAUCUUAGAACCUGCAUUAAUUUGAGGCCGACUGAGGAAAUCUGCUGUGAUGGACCGCUUACAGUGAAGAGAAACAUCCACGGCACAAAAGGCAACAGCAGAAGCUACAGUAAUUACAGAAUGUUUGGCAACUCUGCUGGAGCUGGGAGCGGAUCCUACUCACUGACCUUUCUAGGGAAGAAAGUAGGGAGGCAUCGCUCCGUGGCUCCUGCAGGCACUCAACAUGCUUGGGAGAAAAGCAACCGAUGCUCUGAUGACCCUGAGGAUGCUGUGCGAUCGGGGCGGGUCCCAGGACUGGUGCAGGCGGUGGACAACUUGCCAGGCAGCGUACCUGAGCUGCAGGAGGACGUGUCCCGUCCAGUGUUUCACAGCACAGCGUCUGACAAUGCAGCAGGUGUUACUGGGAGGAAGCUAGCAGCAUGACGACACGCCCACAUUCCUGUAUGAGGAAACACAGAGGGAGAGGGUGGGGCAGGAAUGCAUAAGAAAGAGUCAGACAGACUGUGUCAAAAUCCAGCCACACUGACAUUUAAUUUAUUAACUAAUAGCUAUUGUACCUUCCCAAUUAAUAUUACCUCAUAAAAUAAUUAAAUUAGUGACGUUUUCUGCAUUUUUUUAGAAACAAACGUGUAAAUAGACAUUAAAUUGCCAACUAAUCAUGCCUCACAUUAGGAAAGAUGUAAAACCUGUUAUAAACCUAAAAAAUAAAAUGCUUAAAGUAAAGUUUACGUGAUUUUAUUUCUCAUGACUGCAUCCAAGAACAAUAAAUAAUAUAAUAAUAUAAAUGUAUCAACUUCAGCAUAAAACU